rnacentral:rRNA from 1 species
UAGGGAAUCUUCCACAAUGGACGCAAGUCUGAUGGAGCAACGCCGCGUGAGUGAAGAAGGUUUUCGGAUCGUAAAGCUCUGUUGUUGGUGAAGAAGGAUAGAGGUAGUAACUGGCCUUUAUUUGACGGUAAUCAACCAGAAAGUCACGGCUAACUACGUGCCAGCAGCCGCGGUAAUACGUAGGUGGCAAGCGUUGUCCGGAUUUAUUGGGCGUAAAGCGAGCGCAGGCGGAAGAAUAAGUCUGAUGUGAAAGCCCUCGGCUUAACCGAGGAACUGCAUCGGAAACUGUUUUUCUUGAGUGCAGAAGAGGAGAGUGGAAUUCCAUGUGUAGCGGUGGAAUGCGUAGAUAUAUGGAAGAGCACCAGUGGCGAAGGCGACUCUCUGGUCUGCAACUGACGCUGAGGCUCGAAAGCAUGGGUAGCGAACAGG